UACAGAGGGUGCAAGCGUUAUUCGAAAUUAUUGGGCGUAAAGAGCGAGCAGGUGGCACGCUAAGUUCCGUGUGAAAUCCCCGGGCUCAACCCGGGAAAGUCAUGGAAAACUGGCGAGCUAGAGUGCAUGAGAGGAAAGCGGAAUUCCCAGUGUAGAGGUGAAAUUCGUAGAUAUCGGGAGGAAUACCAGUGGCGAAGGCGGCGACCUGGGCCAAUACUGACGCUGAGGUGCGAAAGCGUGGGGAGCAAACAGG
rnacentral:rRNA from 1 species